UACAACAGAUGCAAUCACAUUUGCUGUAAGCGUAUAGCUUCCCAGCGUAGCGAUACUGAAUUACUGCGUCGAUUGACUCACCUCUCACUAUAGAGUUUCACAAGUCACUAAGAAAAUGAUUAUUCGUUUAAAUCAUAAUUCCCACAUGAUAUUAUAUAAAAUAAGAACAAGUUGUCCCCAUAAAAGACUGUCGUCCUGAGAUACACUGUCGGCUUAUCUAGACCUGCCUAUUACAAGAAGAGAAAUACCAUUCAUCCAUGGACUUAACAUUCGGUGCAGCCUUGGAACAGGGCAAAGUACAGUCGGCCAUAGCUGUAUUUGGUACACUGGUCCCGGGCAUAUUAUCUGACAGCGCACACUAUGUCCCGGGUAGACUGGCCUACUUUCAGCUAACAAAAUGGCGUUAGGGGCGGAUACUUAUACAACGCAGACUGUCCACCGCCGGAUCAGUGUCCAUCCUCAUUCACCUCUCAGCGGGAGCAGUAAUAUACACGUCCUAUCAGCUCGCGACCGCCGGCUGAAGUGAACCUAACGCGCCACUAAGCGAGCGGUGAGAUCGAUGAAUCACGCGCCUGCUUGAUUGCAUGUAGGUACCACUGUAAACACGGAUCUGUAACCACUACCGACAACAGAUGACAAAUGGGCUUUUGGCUUAUCAUGAGCAUCGGUUUCAAUACUCUCGUUAUAUACGUGGAGUAAUUUCAACUAUUUUGCUUUUUUUUAUAUUUAUUGUUGGAGGACGCCAUGGUGAUCAUCGACGAUGUUCGAGUUAUCUGAAUUCGGGACAAACGGUAUUUAGACACAACGCCCAAGAUUCAAUAUAAUAUCUGCCUGGUUACUUCAGCAAUAUGCCAAGUUUGAUUUCAUAAGGUUAAAUGUAUUUAUCAUUCCGGUAUUAUUGUGUGUAUAGUUCCCCGCAUAUUUUAAUCUGUAGCAACACGGUACAUGGCGCGCUAUUAUGCUGAUAGAGACCCACCAUUUGUGUGUGUGUGUAUGUGUGUUAAGAGACAUCUUGCAACAUUUAUUUGGGUAGGCUGUCACUUUCAACACUUUGAAACACUG